rnacentral:misc_RNA from 1 species
GUAGGUGAACCUGCGGAAGGAUCAUUAGUGAAAACAAGGGUGUCCAAUUUAACUUGGAGCCCGAACUCUCACUUUCUAACCCUGUGCAUCUGUUAUUGGUUAGUAGCUCUUCGGAGUGAACUCCAUUCACUUACAAACACAAAGUUUAUGAAUGUAUACAAAAUUAUAACAAAACAAAACUUUCAACAACGGAUCUCUUGGCUCUC